rnacentral:rRNA from 1 species
UGGGGAAUUUUGGACAAUGGGGCGAAAGCCUGAUCCAGCAAUGCCGCGUGUGUGAAGAAGGCCUUCGGGUUGUAAAGCACUUUUGUCCGGAAAGAAAUCCUCUGGGUUAAUACCUCGGGGGGAUGACGGUACCGGAAGAAUAAGCACCGGCUAACUACGUGCCAGCAGCCGCGGUAAUACGUAGGGUGCAAGCGUUAAUCGGAAUUACUGGGCGUAAAGCGUGCGCAGGCGGUUUUGUAAGACGGAUGUGAAAUCCCCGGGCUUAACCUGGGAACUGCAUUCGUGACUGCAAGGCUAGAGUAUGGCAGAGGGGGGUUAGAAUUCCACGUGUGAGCAGUGGAAAUGCGUAGAGAUGUGGAGGAAUACCGAUGGCGAAGGCAGCCCCCUGGGCCAAUACUGACGCUCAUGCACGAAAGCGUGGGGGAGCAAACAGGA